AUUGAACGCUGGCGGCAUGCCUUACACAUGCAAGUCGAACGGUAACAGGUCUUCGGUUGCUGACGAGCGGCGAACGGGUGAGUAAUACAUCGGAACGUGCCCGAUCGUGGGGGAUAACGAAGCGAAAGCUUUGCUAAUACCGCAUACGAUCUACGGAUGAAAGCGGGGGAUCUUCGGACCUCGCGCGGACGGAGCGGCCGAUGGCAGAUUAGGUAGUUGGUGGGAUAAAAGCUUACCAAGCCGACGAUCUGUAGCUGGUCUGAGAGGAUGAUCAGCCACACUGGGACUGAGACACGGCCCAGACUCCUACGGGAGGCAGCAGUGGGGAAUUUUGGACAAUGGGCGCAAGCCUGAUCCAGCCAUGCCGCGUGCAGGAUGAAGGCCUUCGGGUUGUAAACUGCUUUUGUACGGAACGAAAAGGUGCCUUCUAAUAAAGGGCGCUCAUGACGGUACCGUAAGAAUAAGCACCGGCUAACUACGUG
rnacentral:rRNA from 1 species